rnacentral:rRNA from 1 species
GACGAACGCUGGCGGCGUGCUUAACACAUGCAAGUCGAACGGAAAGGCCCUGCUUUUGUGGGGCGCUCGAGUGGCGAACGGGUGAGUAACACGUGAGUAACCUGCCCCUGUCUUUGUGAUAACUUCAGGAAACUGGGGCUAAUACCGGAUAGGAGCUCCUGCUGCAUGGGGGGGGAUGGAAAGUUUCGGCGGUUGGGGAUGGACUCGCGGCUUACCAGCUUGUUGGUGGGGUAGUGGCUUACCAAGGCUUUGACGGGUAGCCGGCCUGAGAGGGUGACCGGCCACAUGGGGACUGGGAUACGGCCCAGACUCCUACGGGAGGCAACAGUGGGAAGUAUUGCACAAUGGGCGGAAGCCUGAUGCAGCAACGCCGCGUGCGGGAUAACGGCCUUCGGGUGGUAAACCGCUUUCGCAUGUGACGAGGCGUGAGUGACGGUAAUGGGUAAAGAAGCACCGGCUAACUACGUG